rnacentral:tRNA from 1 species
GCCCACGUGGUGAAACGGUAGACAUGCCAGCUUGAGGGGCUGGUGCCUUCAGUGGUGUGCUGGUUCGAAUCCAGUCGUGGGCA